CACGUAGGGUGCGAGCGUUGUCCGGAAUUAUUGGGCGUAAAGAGCUCGUAGGCGGUGUGUCGCGUCGGCCGUGAAAACCUGCAGCUUAACUGUGGGCUUGCGGUCGAUACGGGCAUCACUGGAGUUCGGCAGGGGAGACUGGAAUUCCUGGUGUAGCGGUGAAAUGCGCAGAUAUCAGGAGGAACACCGGUGGCGAAGGCGGCAUCCUGGACCAUUACUGACACUGAAAAGCGAAAGCCAGGGGAGCAAACGGG
rnacentral:rRNA from 1 species